rnacentral:rRNA from 1 species
CUACGUAGGGUGCAAGCGUUAAUCGGAAUUACUGGGCGUAAAGCGUGCGCAGGCGGUUUUGUAAGACAGAGGUGAAAACCCCGGGGUCAACCUGGGAACCGCCUUUGUGACCGCAAGGCUAGAGUACGGCAGAGGGGGAUGGAAUUCCGCGUGUAGCCGUGAAAUGCGUAGAUAUGGGGAGGAACACCGAUGGCGAAGACGAUCCCCUGGGCCUGUAAUGACGCUCAUGCACGAAAGGGUGGUGAGCAAACGGGAUUAGGUACCCUGGUAGUCCACGCCCAGAAAGAUGUGAACUGUUUGUUGGGUCUUCAUUGACUCAGUUACGAAGCUAACGCGUGAAGUUGACCGCCUGGGGAGUUCGGCCGCAAGGUUGAUACUCAAGUGAAUUGGCGGGG